rnacentral:rRNA from 1 species
GCUUGCUUCUUGGGGUUGUAGGACACUCUAUACGGAGUUACAAAAGAAAGUUAUAAAUGAAGCGGUCUGGAAAGGCCCGCCAAAGACGGUAACAGCCCGGUAGUUGAAAUGGCUUUCCCUCCAGAGUGGAUCCUGAGUACGGCGGAACACGUGAAAUUCCGUCGGAAUCCGGGAGGACCAUCUCCCAAGGCUAAAUACUCCCUAGUGACCGAUAGUGAACCAGUACCGUGAGGGAAAGGUGAAAAGCACCCCGGAAGGGGAGUGAAACAGUUCCUGAAACCGUGUGCCUACAAGUAGUUAGAGCCCGUUAAUGGGUGAUAGCGUGCCUUUUGUAGAAUGAACCGGCGAGUUACGAUUUGUUGCAAGGUUAAGCGGAAAAAGCGGAGCCGUAGCGAAAGCGAGUCUGAAUAGGGCGCAUAAGUAACAGGUCGUAGACCCGAAACCAGGUGAUCUACCCAUGUCCAGGAUGAAGGUAAGGUAAUACUUACUGGAGGUCCGAACCCACGCACGUUGAAAAGUGCGGGGAUGAGGUGUGGGUAGCGGAGAAAUUCCAAUCGAACUUGGAGAUAGCUGGUUCUCUCCGAAAUAGCUUUAGGGCUAGCCUCGAGGUAAAGAGUCAUGGAGGUAGAGCACUGUUUGGACUAGGGGCCCUUCUCGGGUUACCGAAUUCAGAUAAACUCCGAAUGCCAUGUACUUAUACUCGGGAGUCAGACUGCGAGUGAUAAGAUCCGUAGUCGAAAGGGAAACAGCCCAGACCACCAGUUAAGGUCCCCAAAUAUAUGUUAAGUGGAAAAGGAUGUGGGGUUGCUUAGACAACCAGGAUGUUGGCUUAGAAGCAGCCACCAUUGAAAGAGUGCGUAAUAGCUCACUGGUCGAGUGACCCCGCGCCGAAAAUGUACCGGGGCUAAACAUAUU